rnacentral:rRNA from 1 species
AUUGAACGCUGGCGGCAUGCCUUACACAUGCAAGUCGAACGGCAGCACGGGAGCAAUCCUGGUGGCGAGUGGCGAACGGGUGAGUAAUAUAUCGGAACGUGCCCAGUAGUGGGGGAUAACUGCUCGAAAGAGCAGCUAAUACCGCAUACGACCUGAGGGUGAAAGGGGGGGGUCGCAAGACCUCUCGCUAUUGGAGCGGCCGAUAUCAGAUUAGCUAGUUGGUGGGGUAACGGCCUACCAAGGCAACGAUCUGUAGUUGGUCUGAGAGGAACACAAGCCACGCUGGGACGCGGACACGGCCCAGACUGCUACGGGAGGCAGCAGUGGGGAAUUUUGGACAAUGGGCGCAAGCCUGAUCCAGCAAUGCCGCGUGCAGGAAGAAGGCCUUCGGGUUGUAAACUGCUUUUGUCAGGGAAGAAAUCCUCUAGGUUAAUACCCUUGGGGGGAUGACGGUACCUGAAGAAUAAGCACCGGCUAACUACGUGCCAGCCGCCGCGGUAACAC